rnacentral:rRNA from 1 species
UACGUAGGUGGCAAGCGUUGUCCGGAUUUAUUGGGUUUAAAGGGUGCGUAGGCGGCCCUGCAAGUCAGUGCUGAAAUAUCCCAGCUUAACUGGGAGGGUGGCAUUGAUACUGCGGGGCUAGAGUACAGAUGAGGUAGGCGGAAUUGACGGUGUAGCGGUGAAAUGCUUAGAUAUCGUCAAGAACACCUAUAGCGAAGGCAGCUUACUAGGCUGUAACUGACGCUGAGGCACGAAAGUGUGGGGAUCAAACAGG